rnacentral:lncRNA from 1 species
AUUCGGAAUUCUGAAAGACCACAGCACUCUAUGUCUACUUCUAUUAUAGAUUCAUAUUUGACCAUAAUUAUUUAUUUCAACAUUUCUCUGCACUACCAGACUUUGAGUUCCCUGGAACUAAAAAUAUUGCUUGGACCUCACGCUGUACCUGAAUACCUGAAUCAGAAUCCAUCCUUCUUUUUCCUAACCGGAAUUUGAGAGACAUGAGAAGGGAACUAAACACACAGGCUUCAGGAUCUGGUGGAAAGAGAUAAGGUGUCUCAACGACUGUUGGCCUCAUCAAGAGAUACUACCCCUGAUCUUUUCAUUUCACUUUCCUCGGGUCUGCCUAAACUCAGUGUCUCUCCUAGAAAACCACCCAACUCAUGAAAAACUGUUUGUAAGAAAAUGUUCUCAACACAAAGAAAUAAUAAAGGUUUGAGAUGAUAAAUAUGCUAA